CCUGGUUGAUCCUGCCAGUAGUCAUAUGCUUGUCUCAAAGAUUAAGCCAUGCAUGUCUAAGUACACACUUUGGUAAAGUGAAACCGCGAAUGGCUCAUUAAAUCAGCUACAAUUUAUUAGAUCGUACACUGUUACUUGGAUAACUGUGGGAAUUCUAGAGCUAAUACAUGCCGAGAGUCUCUGCUCUUCGGGGCAGAGCGCAGUUAUUAGACCAAAACCAGCCGUAUUCUUCGGGGUACGCUCUUUUGGUGACUCUGGAUAACCUUCAGCCGAUCGCAUGGCCUCGUGCCGGCGACGUAUCUUUCAAGUGUCUGCCCUAUCAACUUUCGAUGGUACGUGAUAUGCCUACCAUGGUGAUAACGGGUAACGGGGAAUCAGGGUUCGAUUCCGGAGAGGGAGCCUGAGAAAUGGCUACCACAUCCAAGGAUGGCAGCAGGCGCGCAAAUUACCCACUCCCAGCUUGGGGAGGUAGUGACGAAAAAUAACAAUGCGGGACUCUAAGAGGCCCCGUAAUUGGAAUGAGUACACCUUAAAUCGUUUAACGAGUAUCAAUUGGAGGGCAAGUCUGGUGCCAGCAGCCGCGGUAAUUCCAGCUCCAAUAGCGUAUAUUAAAGUUGCUGCAGUUAAAAAGCUCGUAGUUGGAUCUGGGGCUUGAGGUCGCUGUCUAUCGUUUCGGCGAUGACGGUGAUGCUCAGCUCUGCUUGCCGGUGACUGUUGCGGUGUUCUUCACUGAGCGCUGUAGCAGCACGGCACGUUUACUUUGAAAAAAUUAGAGUGCUCAAAGCGUGCUUGUCGCUUGAAUAAUGUUGCAUGGAAUAAUGGAAUAGGACCUCGGUUCUAUUUUGUUGGUUUUCGGAGCUUGAGGUAAUGAUUAAGAGGGACGAACGGGGGCAUUCGUAUUGCGGUGUUAGAGGUGAAAUUCUUGGAUCGCCGCAAGACGGACUACUGCGAAAGCAUUUGCCAAGAACGCUUUCAUUAAUUAAGAACGAAAGUCAGAGGUUCGAAGACGAUCAGACACCGUCCUAGUUCUGACCAUAAACGAUGCCGACCAGCGAUCCGUAGUGGUUGCUUUAUGGACCCUACGGGCAGCCUCCGGGAAACCAAAGUAUUUGGGUUCCGGGGGAAGUAUGGUUGCAAAGCUGAAACUUAAAGGAAUUGACGGAAGGGCACACCAGGAGUGGAGCCUGCGGCUUAAUUUGACCCAACACGGGAAAACUCACCCGGUCCGGACACCGUAAGGAUUGACAGACUGAUAGCUCUUUCUUGAUUCGGUGGAUGGUGGUGCAUGGCCGUUCUUAGUUGGUGGAGUGAUUUGUCUGGUUAAUUCCGAUAAU
rnacentral:rRNA from 1 species